UCUUCCGCAAUGGACGAAAGUCUGACGGAGCAACGCCGCGUGAACGAUGAAGGCCUUCGGGUCGUAAAGUUCUGUUGUUAGGGAAGAACAAGUACCAGAGUAACUGCUGGUACCUUGACGGUACCUAACCAGAAAGCCACGGCUAACUACGUGCCAGCAGCCGCGGUAAUACGUAGGUGGCAAGCGUUGUCCGGAAUUAUUGGGCGUAAAGCGUACGCAGGCGGUUUCUUAAGUCUGAUGUGAAAGCCCACGGCUCAACCGUGGAGGGUCAUUGGAAACUGGGGAACUUGAGUACAGAAGAGGAGAGUGGAAUUCCACGUGUAGCGGAGAAAUGCGUAGAGAUGUGGAGGAACACCAGUGGCGAAGGCGACUCUCUGGUCUGUAACUGACGCUGAGGUACGAAAGCGUGGGGAGCGAACAGG
rnacentral:rRNA from 1 species